AUUUAUAUAGUUUAAAUAAAACAUUACAUUUUCAUUGUAAAAAUAAAAAAAAAUUUUUUUAUAAAUA
rnacentral:tRNA from 1 species